CUGGCCUUGACAUCCAGAGAACUUUCCAGAGAUGGAUUGGUGCCUUCGGGAACUCUGAGACAGGUGCUGCAUGGCCGUCGUCAGCUCGUGUCGUGAGAUGUUGGGUUAAGUCCCGUAACGAGCGCAACCCCUAUCCCUGGUUGCUAGCAGGUAAUGCUGAGAACUCCAGGGAGACUGCCGGUGACAAACCGGAGGAAGGUGGGGAUGACGUCAGGUCAUCAUGGCCCUUACGGCCAGGGCUACACACGUGCUACAAUGGCGCGUACAGAGGGCUGCCAACUCGCGAGAGUGAGCCAAUCCCUUAAAACGCGUCGUAGUCCGGAUCGGAGUCUGCAACUCGACUCCGUGAAGUCGGAAUCGCUAGAAAGGGCGAAUCAGAAUGUCGCGGUGAAUACGUUCCC
rnacentral:rRNA from 1 species